UGGGGAAUAUUGCACAAUGGGCGCAAGCCUGAUGCAGCCAUGCCGCGUGUUUGAAGAAGGCCUUCGGGUUGUAAAGUACUUUCAGCGGGGAGGAAGGUGUUGAGGCUAAUAACCUCAGCAAUUGACGUUACCCGCAGAAGAAGCACCGGCUAACUCCGUGCCAGCAGCCACGGUAAUACGGAGGGUGCAAGCGUUAAUCGGAAUUACUGGGCGUAAAGCGCACGCAGGCGGUCUGUCAAGUCGGAUGUGAAAUCCCCGGGCUCAACCUGGGAACUGCAUUCGAAACUGGCAGGCUAGAGUCUUGUAGAGGGGGGUAGAAUUCCAGGUGUAGCGGUGAAAUGCGUAGAGAUCUGGAGGAAUACCGGUGGCGAAGGCGGCCCCCUGGACAAAGACUGACGCUCAGGUGCGAAAGCGUGGGGAGCAAACA
rnacentral:rRNA from 1 species